GAACAUUUAGCCAUUCAUUGCUCCCUUUUCUUGCAAAGACAGACCUACCUGGAAUUGAGAAAAGCAGUUGUACAGGCUGGCAAAUGAACACGCAGCGACAAGCUCUGCAGUAAGCAGCUCUCAGGCUGGAGAGCACACAAGAUGCAGCUGCCCCAGCUGAGCUCACUCCUGCACAGAAGCUGAAAGAUGAGUUUGAAUGAAAGCAGAGCAAGAAAAGAGUUGGAAAGUUUCAUGA